rnacentral:lncRNA from 13 species
CCACUACGCGGCUAUUUCCACUACGCUAUUUUUUUAGUCGCCAUUUUGAGUGCAGUCGCAAACAGUCGCAAAGUGUAGAAAGUACGUGUGAAAAAACUUUGGACUGACCUUCUGGCUGAGCUCUGUAGGAAGCCAAAUCAAGAUAAAAUUGUAUUACUAAAGCCGGACCAAACAGUACAUACAAUUCAUCAUAAUUCAUCAUGAUAACAGAUAUACUUUUGAGUUGCACAAGAUUAUUUGUACGUGUUGGAUGGUUUAUUCCAUGGACGAGUCUGCCAACUAUGCAAUG